UGCAAGUCGUACGCACUGGCCCAACUGAUUGAUGGUGCUUGCACCUGAUUGACGAUGGAUCACCAGUGAGUGGCGGACGGGUGAGUAACACGUAGGUAACCUGCCCCGGAGCGGGGGAUAACAUUUGGAAACAGAUGCUAAUACCGCAUAACAACAAAAGCCACAUGGCUUUUGUUUGAAAGAUGGCUUUGGCUAUCACUCUGGGAUGGACCUGCGGUGCAUUAGCUAGUUGGUAAGGUAACGGCUUACCAAGGCGAUGAUGCAUAGCCGAGUUGAGAGACUGAUCGGCCACAAUGGAACUGAGACACGGUCCAUACUCCUACGGGAGGCAGCAGUAGGGAAUCUUCCACAAUGGGCGCAAGCCUGAUGGAGCAACACCGCGUGAGUGAAGAAGGGUUUCGGCUCGUAAAGCUCUGUUGUUGGAGAAGAACGUGCGUGAGAGUAACUGUUCACGCAGUGACGGUAUCCAACCAGAAAGUCACGGCUAACUACGUGCCAGCAGCCGCGGUAAUACGUAGGUGGCAAGCGUUAUCCGGAUUUAUUGGGCGUAAAGCGAGCGCAGGCGGUUGCUUAGGUCUGAUGUGAAAGCCUUCGGCUUAACCGAAGAAGUGCAUCGGAAACCGGGCGACUUGAGUGCAGAAGAGGACAGUGGAACUCCAUGUGUAGCGGUGGAAUGCGUAGAUAUAUGGAAGAACACCAGUGGCGAAGGCGGCUGUCUGGUCUGCAACUGACGCUGAGGCUCGAAAGCAUGGGUAGCGAACAGGAUUAGAUACCCUGGUAGUCCAUGCCGUAAACGAUGAGUGCUAGGUGUUGGAGGGUUUCCGCCCUUCAGUGCCGGAGCUAACGCAUUAAGCACUCCGCCUGGGGAGUACGACCGCAAGGUUGAAACUCAAAGGAAUUGACGGGGGCCCGCACAAGCGGUGGAGCAUGUGGUUUAAUUCCAAGUUACGCGAAGAACCUUACCAGGUCUUGACAUCUUGCGCUAACCUUAGAGAUAAGGCGUUCCCUUCGGGGACGCAAUGACAGGUGGUGCAUGGUCGUCGUCAGCUCGUGUCGUGAGAUGUUGGGUUAAGUCCCGCAACGAGCGCAACCCUUGUUACUAGUUGCCAGCAUUAAGUUGGGCACUCUAGUGAGACUGCCGGUGACAAACCGGAGGAAGGUGGGGACGACGUCAGAUCAUCAUGCCCCUUAUGACCUGGGCUACACACGUGCUACAAUGGACGGUACAACGAGUCGCAAGCUCGCGAGAGUAAGCUAAUCUCUUAAAGCCGUUCUCAGUUCGGACUGUAGGCUGCAACUCGCCUACACGAAGUCGGAAUCGCUAGUAAUCGCGGAUCAGCAUGCCGCGGUGAAUACGUUCCCGGGCCUUGUACACACCGCCCGUCACACCAUGGGAGUUUGUAACGCCCAAAGUCGGUGGCCUAACCUUUAUGGAGGGAGCCGCCUAAGG
rnacentral:rRNA from 2 species